AAAAAAUUUUUGAUAAUUGCUCAACAGGAAACCAAAAAAACUGCGCAUUUCUGAGCUAUCUGGGAUUCUUCUACAAUUGAAGCAAGUCCCUCCGAAUUCCGCCUGAGCAAUCCGACGGCGACCGUCGCUCGUUGAUCCCCGGCCAUUGGAUUAGAUGACUUAUGUCGCCGGCCUUAGUUGACUCCGCAGCGCCGCCUUCAUCUGGUUACGAUCAGAUAUUCAUUUCCUCUGCACAAUAGCUCCGCAAGCCUUUCAGAUCAAAUGGAUCAGAAUUUCGGCUUCAAUUCGUCGUCAUUGGGACCCUCGACACCCGCUGCUGGACUCUCCCGCGCGGCGCGGUUCGCGAAGGUCCGGAAACCCUCGACCGGCCAUCGUCCCAAUUCCAAUCUAGUCCGCCCGGUGUGGCAGCCGAGUGGCAUCGAGUCCUCGCACAGUAAUUCAGGGUUUGACACUGCCAAACCCUCUUCUGAGUCGAGUGUGGAUCGUGGAUUUGUGUUUGGUUCCAAUGAUGGUGGUCGUGCUAACCCUAGCAGCAUUAGCAGUAGUAGUUCUUUAUUUGGUGAAACUGUUGCGGAUAGCAGUCUGGAAACAGGUAAAGUAGUGGAUGAGAUGAGGAGAUUGAAUAUUGAUAGGGGAAAGGCUUUUUCGAAUAGUAGUCACAGUACCACAGGCCAUAAUCCAAAUUUGAUGGGUACCGGUCGCUCAAUUAGAAGCGUGGAUCAGAUCAUGGAUUUUGGAUUGCCUGAUGAGAUGAGAAGGUUGCACAUUGAAAGAUCCUGGAGUGUUGGUGGCGGAGGUGAUGCUGACCAUUUGGAUUUUGAGCUUCCUAACAAGAUGAAAAAUUUGAAUGUUGAAGAUUCUUUGAACCAAUCAGUGAAAGAAAAGGUCUACAAUGCUCGUCCCAGCGACGUGUAUGGAGAAGAAGACAGUGGAAAUGCCAAUGUGUCAGCUGGCUUGAAUGCAACUGGAAAUGACACUGCUCACCUUAGGCCCGAAUCAAGUUUGCAUUUUGCUGCAGAAGCUGUGAAGGGCAUGCAUGCUAUGGGUGGUGAAAGUUUGCAAAAUGUUUCUGAAUUGUUCAAUACUAGUUUUAAUUUUCAAGCUGGAUCAAACAGCAGUAAUAGUGGUAGUCAAGGGAGUUUGAUACAAGAACAGGAUUCGACUUCGUCAACAUUGGGUGGCAUUCAUUUCAAACCAUUUGGGAGGGUCCCUGAGAUGCCAUUUGUGAGCCAAGAUGAAAAGAAAGUUGAGUUUAGUUUCACAAGCAAGUUGGGUAGUGGGAUACCGCAGCAUGUGGAGUUCAAGACACCAGAUCCAAUUGGAAACAAAAUAUUUGGCCUAAACAGAAUGGUCGAUACAAAGAGGGAAAUGGCUAAGGAAGGUGGAUUAAAGAAAAAGAAGGGCAAGUGGAAGAAGCCUAAUCAAGUUCCGACCAAGUUACCACAAGAAUUUUUAUUUCAUGAUAAUUUGGCAGAAAAUACAGAAUCUUCAGAACAAUAUUCGCCCAUGGACCUUUCCCCAUAUGAAGAAACACUUGCUGAUAGUACUUUUUCAAGAGAGACCUCAGUGGCAUCUGAGGAAUCUUCUCGUCUUGAUGAAAUAAAUACAUCAUGUGAAACAGGCCUAAAUGUUUCAAAUGACGAUGUUGAUGAUGUUUUAAUUUCUGCAACCAAAGACUUGCAUAUAAAUGAAUAUGAUGUAGCAGGCAAUGAAGGGCUAAAUGAAUCUAUUCAUUAUGCAAAUCAUGGUAUUAGGGUUGAGAGUCCUGAAGAAGGUGCUGUAUCAGGGGGUGAGACUGACAGUUUCAAGUCUGCUGCUGAUGAGUUGGAUUACAGUGUUGACUCCUUUGUUACUGCAGCUGAGACUGAAGUAAGUUCCAGCUAUAGUGAGAGACAACACAGUGAUGGAGACCAGUUGCAGAGUAUGUUCACCUUUUCUGCCUCUUCCUCUUCUGUCAAUGAGGUUCCUGCAUCAAUGCCUGCCCAGAAAAAGAAAAAUCGGGUCAAAUUCAGCCACGAUUCAUACAGCACCGCUCCAAGUAUCAAAGUUUCACAGGCAUCUUCAGACUUACCUUCAUUUCAAUUUUCUGGAUUUCCGGCAGCAUCUCCUCAGCAAGGUCACAGUGGUCACUUCCCUGAGUUGGGCUCAAAAAUGGAUAAGGCUGAGCAAGUCAAGGAAUUGGGAACUAAGCAAGAUUCUGCUACAGUUUCCAAUAUUGCUGUUCAGGAAUCUUGUGAGAAAUGGAGGUUGAGGGGGAAUCAAGCCUAUGCUAAAGAAGAUUUCUCUAGAGCUGAAGAUUGUUACACUCAGGGAAUUAAUUGUAUAUCCCCGAAUGUGACAUCUAGAAGCUGCCUCAGGGCUCUAAUGUUGUGUCAUAGCAAUCGUGCUGCAACACGCAUGUCACUUGGAAGACUGCGAGAAGCAUUGGAAGAUUGUUUAAGGGCUUCUACAAUAGAUCCAAAUUUCCUCAAGGCGCAAGUUCGGGCUGCAAGCUGUUAUCUAUCCCUAGGGGAAGUUGAGAAUGCAGCUCAGCAUUAUAUGAAAUGUUUGCAAGCAGGGCCUGAGGUCUGUGUGGACAGAAAGCUUUUAGUAGAGGCUUCUGAGGGCCUUGAGAACACGAAGAAAGUUGCAGAAUGUAUGAAGCAAGCGGGAGAACUUUUGAGACGAAGAACAUCCAGUGACAUUGAACAUGCUGUUGGUGUGAUUUCAGAAGCAUUGAGGAUAUGCACUUAUUCUGAAACUUUGCUUCAGAUGAAAGUGGAUGCUCUACUCAUGCUGAAGAAAUAUGAAGAGCUAAUUCAAUUUUCUGAGGGCAUUCUUGCUUUGGUGGAAUCAAAUUUUCUGUUAUCUGGUUGUUCUUUGCCCUUGGAGCUUCAUGGCUCUGACUUGCAGAGGGCUCCUUCCUUCAAGGUCUGGUGCUGGUCACAGAUCAUUAACUCCUACUUCUACUUAGGAAAACUUGAUGAUGCCCUCGGUUAUCUUAAGAAGGAAGAGGAAUCAGUUUUACUUGUGGAAAGACGCGAAAGCAGAAAACUUGAGUCCAUGAUUCCACUUGUCGGUACCAUACGGGAGUUGUUACGCCACAAGGUUGCAGGAAAUGAAUUAUACAAAUCAGGAAAAUAUGCUGAAGCUGUAGAACAUUAUACAGCAGCUAUAUCAUGCUCUGUUGAGUCGCGCCCUUUUUCUGCUAUAUGUUUUUGUAACCGUGCUGCAGCACACCGAGCUAUGGGCCAAAUUAUAGACGCCAUCUCAGAUUGCAGCCUUGCCAUUGCUCUGGAUGGAAGUUAUCACAAGGCACUCUCUCGAAGAGCAGCACUAUAUGAGAUGAUUAGAGAUUAUGAACAAGCAGCAGGGGAUCUUCAGAAACGUGUAUUCCUUCUCACAAACGAAUUAGAUAAGAAAGCUGAUAUAUCUGGAACAUUGGAUAAAGUGGACUAUUUGAACGAGCUUCAACAAGCUCGGCUUAAACUUUCAGAAAUGGAAGCAGCUGCCCAAAAUGAGAUUCCCCUGAAUGUGUAUCUUAUUCUGGGUGUCGAUUCAUCAGUCACUGCAUCUGAAAUUAAGAAGGCAUACAGAAAGGCUGCAUUGAAGUAUCAUCCAGACAAGGCUGGUCAAAUUUUCACAAGAAGUGAACAUACAGAUGACGAUAUUUGGAGGGAAAUAGCAAAUGAAGUGCAUAAAGAUGCAGACAAGCUAUUCAAAAUGAUUGGAGAAGCAUAUGCAGUACUUUCGGACCCUGUCAAGCGAUCACAAUACGACCUUGAAGAAGAGAGGCGAAAUGCACCCAGCAGAACCCAUGGCGGAAAUUCCUCCAAAGGGUAUUCUGAUUUCCAAAACUACGCAUAUGAUAGCAGCGGCAAUAGGAGACACUGGCAAGAUGUUCGGAGAUCAUAUGGGAACCCUACGCGAUGGUCCAAAAGAAACCAGUACAAUUGGUACUCAUGAAUGCUUCAUUUGGGAUGAAAUCCUACUGAUUCCUGUUGUAACAACACAGCCUUCUUCUUCCUCUCCCCAAAUAAAAUAUUCAUUUCGACAAAACCGAGAAGAAGACUACAGGUAGCUGAUUCCUGCCAGACAUCGGUCAUCGUUUCUGCAAAUUCGUCAUGAGGAAGACAACGCCACAGCAAAGCAGCACUGUCAUCGUCGACUCUUCAACAGCAAGUUCCGUACAACACUGGCAAAGCUUGGAGAUCGCCGGAGACAUUCAGAAAAUCUAAUUCUCGCAAUAAUUGUAUGAGAAUUGGAAGUAUAAGGAUUUACCAACGGAUGAACAUACUAACUGAGUCUCACUCAACGCCAAUUCAAUUCUUCAGUUAAAGUAAAGCCGACGGGAUGGUGAUUGGACCGAUUGAAGUGCUAAAGGAGCUGGGACCUUGGGUCCCGACUGUGGAAUGGAAUGGAAUGUAUCUCAAGUUUGUUUUUUAUGGAGUGUAUUGUUGUAAGUUUUAGUGCUUAAUUUUGUAGAUUUUGUUUUGUUUGUUUGAAUCGUAACUUUCGGAUUAAUUUAAAAUAAAAUAUUAAUUUAAAAUUUUAUUUAAAUAA